GGGAUUGUGGCUCAGUGGUGGUGCGCUUGCCUAGCGUGCAUGAGGCACUGAGUUUGAUUCUCAGCACCA
rnacentral:tRNA from 1 species